AGAGUUUGAUCCUGGCUCAGGACGAACGCUGGCGGCGUGCUUAACACAUGCAAGUCGAGCGAUGAAGCUCCUUCGGGAGUGGAUUAGCGGCGGACGGGUGAGUAACACGUGGGUAACCUGCCUCAUAGAGGGGAAUAGCCUUUCGAAAGGAAGAUUAAUACCGCAUAAGAUUGUAGUACCGCAUGGUAUAGCAAUUAAAGGAGUAGUCCGCUAUGAGAUGGACCCGCGUCGCAUUAGCUAGUUGGUGAGGUAACUGCUCACCAAGGCGACGAUGCGUAGCCGACCUGAGAGGGUGAUCGGCCACAUUGGGACUGAGACACGGCCCAGACUCCUACGGGAGGCAGCAGUGGGGAAUAUUGCACAAUGGGGGAAACCCUGAUGCAGCAACGCCGCGUGAGUGAUGACGGUCUUCGGAUUGUAAAGCUCUGUCUUUAGGGACGAUAAUGACGGUACCUAAGGAGGAAGCCACGGCUAACUACGUGCCAGCAGCCGCGGUAAUACGUAGGUGGCAAGCGUUGUCCGGAUU
rnacentral:rRNA from 1 species